rnacentral:rRNA from 1 species
GAUGAACGCUAGCGGCAGGCCUAAUACAUGCAAGUCGAACGGUGUCUUCGGACAUAGUGGCGCACGGGUGCGUAACACGUAUGCAACCUACCUUACAUUGGGGGAUAGCCUUUCGAAAGGGAGAUUAAUACCGCAUAAGACAGUAGCUGGGCAUCCAGCAGCUGUUAAAGAUUUAUCGAUGUAAGCUGGGCAUGCGUCCAAUUAGCUAGUUGGUGAGGUAACGGCUCACCAAGGCAAUGAUUGGUAGGGGAACUGAGAGGUCAAUCCCCCACACUGGCACUGAGAUACGGGCCAGGCUCCUACGGGAGGCAGCAGUAGUGAAUAUUGGGCAAUGGACGCAAGUCUGACCCAGCCAUGCCGCGUGCAGGAUGAAGGCGUUAUGCGUUGUAAACUGCUUUUAUACAGGAAGAAACGACUCUUGCGAGAGGCAUUGGCGGUACUGUAUGAAUAAGCACCGGCUAACUCCGUGCCAGCAGCCGCGGUAAGAC